UACGGAGGAUCCAAGCGUUAUCCGGAAUCAUUGGGUUUAAAGGGUCCGUAGGCGGUCUAGUAAGUCAGUGGUGAAAGCCCAUCGCUCAACGGUGGAACGGCCAUUGAUACUGCUGGACUUGAAUUAUUGGGAAGCAACUAGAAUAUGUAGUGUAGCGGUGAAAUGCUUAGAGAUUACAUGGAAUACCAAUUGCGAAGGCAGGUUGCUACCAAUACAUUGACGCUGAUGGACGAAAGCGUGGGGAGCGAACAGG
rnacentral:rRNA from 1 species